CGUGCGCUGGGCACCCAAAGUCUGGGGCCCCAGUCGGCACUUCUGUCUCCUGCGCAAGCAGAACAGCAGUGUUAGAUGCAUCCGAGGGUCUCCCACACUGAAUGGUUGUGCUAGCAAACACUAGCAUAGCACAUUAUUAUUAUUUAUUAAAUUUAUAUACCGCCCUUAGCUGGUGGCCUAGGUCACCUGCCUCACCCCUUGGAAACUUACCUGGCAAGGGGGCAGCAGAGGAGGGCAAGCAAAGUGGCUGCAGCAUAGAAUUACAUCGGGAUCCACAGGAGAGUAGCCAAAGGACAGACAAAAAAAAGGCGCUGAGGCACUGAAGCUGCCUGAGAGGCUACCAAGAAGAACAGAGGCCUUUUGGCACAGCCAUUUGCAUUUCAGCCUAUGAUCCUAAGCUAUCAAGGAGACAGAAAGAUGUGAGAGGUUUCCCUGCAAGGCCCUGGAAAUGGCUCCAGGUCCCUCCAGGUCCUUCAGACACGAAAGACUCCUGAGACUGGCAGCAGCUAGACAGUAUGACUGCAAAAACAAACAACAACUUUGAAACAAAUAUCUGAAACAAAAUGGAUAAGAAAUUUAUAACAUCCUGGUUAUUUCA